AGGAUAGAACGCGUGGCGGCGUGCUAACACAUGCAAGUCGGAACGGAGCGCCGGACGACGGACUAUUCGGUAGGAAGAGGUACGGAGGCGUAGUGGCGGACGGGUGAGUAACGCGUGGACAACCUGCCGCAUACCGGGGGAGUAACAGCUGGAAACAGCUGCUAAUACCGCAUAUGCCCGCAGUGCCGCAUGGCACAGCGGGGAAAACUCCGGUGGUAUGCGAUGGAUCCGCGUCUGAUUAGGCAGUUGCGGGGUAACGGCCCACCAAACCGACGAUCAGUAGCCGGCCUGAGAGGGCGGACGGCCACACUGGGACUGAGACACGGCCCAGACUCCUGCGGGAGGCAGCAGUGGGGAAUAUUGCACAAUGGGGGAAACCCUGACGCAGCGACGCCGCGUGAAGGAAGAAGUAUCUCGGUAUGUAAACUUCUAUCAGCAGGGAAGAAAACAGACGGUACCUGACUAAGAAGCCCCGGCUAACUACGUG
rnacentral:rRNA from 1 species